GGGGGGGGGGGGAUUGGAAAAGGAUGUAGGCAAUUUCCCUUUUGGACCUGAUUUGAGGGCUUUGAUGGCGAGACAAAACAUGGUAGUAGGGAACCAUCAACAAGUCUCUUAUAGGAGAGUUUGGGAGAGGACUAGACAAGAAAAAAAAAACACUACUGAGGUGGAAAGCAGGGCGAUAGACUUGGAUGUAGGUGAUUGUGGCGUUCCAGCUCAAAAGACCAGAGAAGAUGAAGUUUUAGAGUCCAAUGUGCCUCUAUCCUUGGAACAUAUUAGGUUGUUGUCGUCAAACAUUCAAGGUACCAUUUCUCAAACUGAUUCACUGAAAUUAAAAGCAAAUGAUAUUGGGGCUAAUAUAUUUGAACAGAAGGCUAAUAAAUGUAAGAAAAAUGGGGAAACUACUGAGACAAAGAAUGGGAAUGGGGGAAUUUCAAAGGAAUAUGAAUUAGAUAGGUAGAAGGAAAAUUUGGAUGGACCCAAAGUAGAUACCCAGACAAAGUUUAUAAGGAAGUGGAAAAGAAUUGCUAGAGAGAAUACUGAAAGAGGAAAUCGGGAAAGCUUAAAGCAAGGAGGGAAACGAAUAGUGGAGAUGAUUUGGAGUGAUUCAGCUAUGGAAACUGAAGGAGGGAAGCGGUUCAAGAAAAAAAUUUGGUUGGUUUUCAGCCCGCCGAGAUCAAUGAAGGUGCUUAGUUGGAACUAUCAUGGGCUUGGGAACACACGGGCAGUUAGAGCGCUAAGGAAGCUCGUGCAACAAUAAGGUCUCUAUCUGAUCUUUGUAAUGGAAACCAAGAAGAAGUUAGUAGAGGUGCAAGGUAUGAAAGGAAUGGAUAAUUUAUAUAAUUUGUUUGAUGUUCAUUGCAUAGGAAGUGGAAAAGAUAAAGUUGGGGGACUUCUAAUUUUGUGGAGGAAUUGUGAUUUUGGAUAUUUCAUCUUUUUCUAAAAAUCACAAAACAAUAAAUUUCAAGUCUAAAUCAAAAGGAGAUUAGGGGUUGAUCACUUUCUUUUAUGGUUAUCUAGAGAGAAGAAAUAAGGCUUUAUCUUGGGAAUUAUUAAGGAAGAAGAAGUCGAUAGAAAAUAUACCUUGGGUUUGUUUGCUUGACUUCAACCAAAUCUUGUCCCAAGAUAAGAAGAUGGGGGGUAAUCCAAUUGAUCUUUUUCACAUGAUGGGAUUUUAUAGAGCUCUUAUGGAUUGUAAUUUGUUUGAUUUGGGAUGCAUAAGAUACAAUUUUACCAGGUCUAAUAUGAGGAAUUCCCUCAUAAUUUCCAUGAGAGAUUAGAUCAAGUGCUAGCAAAUGAAGAAUGGAGAGUUAAAUGGCCUAAUAUUGUCAUGAUCACACUUUCCAGAUAUAGGUUCGACCAUAAUCCAAUUCUCAUGGAGUCUUUUGAUGAGCCUCAGAGAAAAAGGAGGAGGAAAUGAAGGGCAAAGUUGUAUCGGUUUGAAAGGUUAUGGCUGAAGAAGGCCGAGGAGUGUAAAGAUGUAGUGGCUCACUCUUGGAUUUUGGGUGAUGAUGUUAUGCAUCACUUGACUAGAGUGGGCUCAAACCUUAAUUCUUGGGGAAAAGCUGCCUUUGGUUAGAUUCCUAAAAGGAUUAAACAACUGUAGCAACGCCUUGAGGAGCUUCAACAAAAGCUGCAAACUGGUGAAGUGCUGAAAGAGAUUCAUAAAAUUGAGAUUGAUCUAGAUGAGAUUCUAAAACUAGAGAAAAUUAUUUGGGCCCAUCGUCUGAGAGCCACUUGGCUAAAACAUGGGGAUAGAAAUAUAAGUUUUUUCACCAAAAAGCCUCACAUAGACAGAAACUAAACUCCACAGACAAAAUCACGAAUGAAGAAGGAAUGCUGAUCAAAGAUGAGGAAGACAUAUAAGUUGUUAUUUUAGAGUUUUUUGAAGACUUAUUCAUGACGUCUAUUCCUCAAGAUACUGACUUAGUUGCACAACUGGUUGGAGGGAGGAUAAUAAAUGAUUUAAGAAAUGUGUUGAAUGGUGAUUUCACAAAGGAAGAGGCGUUUGAAGCUCUGAACCAAAUGCAUCCUUUGAAGGCCCCUAGUCUAGAUGGGACCCCUGCUGUUUUCUACCAUAAGUUUUAGCCCCUGAUCGGAGGAGAUGUCACUUGAACUGUAUUGAAUAUCCUUAACAAUGGUGUUAAUCCUUCAAAUUUGAACAAAACAUUAUUGUUCUCAUUCCAAAGGGUAAGAAUCCAAUUCAUCUGAGUGAUUUUCGGCCCAUAAGUCCUUGUAACUUAUCGUUUAUAUCGUUACAAAUACCAUAGCUAAUAGAUUAAAGAUCAUCCUUCCUUUUAUUGUAUCAAAAAAUCAGAGUGCAUUUGUUCCAGAAAGACUCAUAACUGAUAAUGCACUUGUGGCAUUCAAAUGCUUUCACCAUAUGAGGACUAGAUAGUCAGGAAGAAAAAGAUCAAUGACAUUGAAGCUUGACAUGUCAAAGGCUUAUGAUAGGGUUGAAUGGAAAUUUUUGGAGUCAGUCUUAAUUUUUAUAGGCUUUCCGGAGAAGUGGAAAAACCUGAUCCUUCACUGUGUUUCGAUUGUAUCCUUCUCUACUCUUAUUAAUGGCCAACCUGGCGGGGAAUUGAGAUCACAAAGGGGAUUGAGAUAGGGGGAUCCCUUGUCCUCCUAUCUCUUUAUUCUUUGUGCAGAAGUGUUCUCAGUGCUUAUCUCCCAAUCAGUUUCAAGACAGUUGUUGCAUGGUGUUAAAAUUUGCCCCAGGGCACCUCCUAUUACUCAUCUAUUUUUUUCAAAUGACAACAUUUUGUUUGUCAGAGCGGAUGUUCGAGAAGCAAAUCAUGUUUUUGAAGUGAUUCAUGCAUGUGAAAGGGUGUUGGGACAGAGGAUAAAUCUCAACAAACCCGAGAUCUCCUUCAGCCAAAAUGUUUCGACUUUCAGAUCAAAUGAGCUAGAGAUGCUUCUAAAGUUAAAGGUAGUUGGGGAUCACAAGAAAUAUUUGGGUAUUUUGGUCCUAGUUGGAAAGUCAAAAAAGCAAGUGUUUCAAUUCAUUAAGGACAUAGUUUGGAAAAAAUAAAUAAAGGUUAGAAAGAAAGGGCUCUAUCCAAAACAGGGAGGGAAACUAUGUCAAUUGUCUAGGCUAUUCCUACAUAUGUGAUGAGCUAUUUCAAACUCCCGAUUUCUUUGUGUCAGGAAAUAGAAUAGAUGUUUGCAAGGUUCUAUUAGGUUGGUAAUGUUGAAAAAAAGAAAUUGCAUUGGCUCUCAUAGGAAAAACUCAUUGAACCAAAAGCUAGACAAGGUCAGGGCUUUAGAAGGCUCCAAUAGUUCAACCAAUCCUUAUUGUCAAAACAAAUGUGGAGGCUUUUGACCAUUGAGAGCAGCCUGGCAAUAAGGGUGUUAAGUGUCAAGUAUUUUCCUCACUCUUUUCUUUGCAGGAAAGGAAAUCAUUAAAGCCAAGCUACACUUGGACAAGCAUUUAUUCUUCCAGGAAAUUAAUUCUAGAGGGAGCCAUUUAGACUUCCACUCGAGGGGGAGACUACCAUGUGGAAGAGACUCACACUUGAGGGGGAGAUGUAUUGGGUUACAAGUGUGAGGUGAAGUCCCACAUCGGAUAGAAGUGGAAAGGUUGAGCACCAUAUAAGUGAGGAGAAGACCCAUAAACCUGAGCCUUAAGGUUUUGGGUUAGAGUGUGGUGUCAGGUCUCCUUAUGUGGUGGCUUGUGGUCCACAGGUGUACUCCUCGAAUCUCCCCAACAGGUGGAUUGGAAGGGGUAUUCAAUCCUUGUCAAGUCAGAUAGAUGGCUACCAAGCUCAAAAGUUGCGUAAGUGGGAUGUUCAAAAAGUUCAAUCAAUUUUCUCUCCGGAGGGGUCCUUUAGUUAUAUUCAAGGAGAUUUUUGGAAAAAGCUAUGGAAGAUUAAAGCCAUUCCAAAGUGUGUCCAUUUGCUCUAGAGGGCAUGUAAGGACAUUUUGCUGGUGAUGACAAAUUUGAAAAGAAAAAAAAGAUUAGAAGUUGACAGUAUUUGUCCUAGAUGCAGUGUGGGGAAUCAAACAGUGGUCCACACUCUCCUUUUUAUGUGAGGAAGUUACCAGAAUAUGUUUUGCAUAAAGCUUAGGUGGUAGGAUUCAGGCUCAAUAGGAGUCCUCUUUUGUUGUAUGAGUUGGGAGUUGUAUACAGGUUGGUGAUGCUAUUUUUUUGGGAGAAUUUGUGAACUUGUUUGGGUUAUUUGGUAUGAAAGGGAUCAAUGGGUUUUUAAUAGAAGGAAAUUCCUCUUUAGUAUACUCUGGAAAAGGCUUAGUCCUUUUUAGAUCCUCUUUAUCAAAUUGAUUGAAGGCCUAGACAGUUAUCUGAAUCUUGGAGAAGGCCCCUAAAGGGAAUCAUUAAGGCUAGUUUUGAUGCUUCCCCAAAGCAAAAUAGAGGAACGGGUCUUGGGGUCAUUUUUAGGGAUCACGGUGGGAAAGUUCUGGUUGCGGGUUCUUUGUUAAUACCGUUUUGUUAUGAACCCCAUAUAGCUGAAGCUAUUGCAUUUAAGUGGGCGACAGCUCAAAACUUAUCUUUUCAAUGUGUUAAGUAUGAAUUCAAUUGCACGAGGCUAGUUAAGGAAUGGCAUGAAAGGAGCAACAAUAGGAGGAGUUAUUUUGUUGGUCUUAUACUUA